rnacentral:rRNA from 1 species
AGUGAACGCUGGCUGUAGGCCUAACACAUGCCAGUCGAACGGCAGCACAGUAAGAGCUUGCUCUUACGGGUGGCGAGUGGCGGACGGGUGAGGAAUACAUCGGAAUCUACUUUUUCGUGGGGGAUAACGUAGGGAAACUUACGCUAAUACCGCAUACGACCUACGGGUGAAAGCGGGGGAUCUUCGGACCUUGCGCGAUUGAAUGAGCCGAUGUCGGAUUAGCUAGUUGGCGGGGUAAAGGCCCACCAAGGCGACGAUCCGUAGCUGGUCUGAGAGGAUGAUCAGCCACACUGGAACUGAGACACGGUCCAGACUCCUACGGGAGGCAGCAGUGGGGAAUAUUGGACAAUGGGCGCAAGCCUGAUCCAGCCAUACCGCGUGGGUGAAGAAGGCCUUCGGGUUGUAAAGCCCUUUUGUUGGGAAAGAAAAGCAGCAGGUUAAUACCCCGCUGUUCUGACGGUACCCAAAGAAUAAGCACCGGCUAACUUCGUG